rnacentral:lncRNA from 1 species
UGAAUGCUUUCCCCGCCCAGAACAACUACGGGCUCUAUGACCUCCUGGGGAACGUGUGGGAGUGGACAGCAUCACCGUACCAGGCUGCUGAGCAGGACAUGCGCGUCCUCCGGGGGGCAUCCUGGAUCGACACAGCUGAUGGCUCUGCCAAUCACCGGGCCCGGGUCACCACCAGGAUGGGCAACACUCCAGAUUCAGCCUCAGACAACCUCGGUUUCCGCUGUGCUGCAGACGCAGGCCGGCCGCCAGGGGAGCUGUAAGCAGCCGGGUGGUGACAAGGAGAAAAGCCUUCUAGGGUCACUGUCAUUCCCUGGCCAUGUUGCAAACAGCGCAAUUCCAAGCUCGAGAGCUUCAGCCUCAGGAAAGAACUUCCCCUUCCCUGUCUCCCAUCCCUCUGUGGCAGGCGCCUCUCACCAGGGCAGGAGAGGACUCAGCCUCCUGUGUUUUGGAGAAGGGGCCCAAUGUGUGUUGACGAUGGCUGGGGGCCAGGUGUUUCUGUUAGAGGCCAAGUAUUAUUGACACAGGAUUGCAAACACACAAACAAUUGGAACAGAGCACUCUGAAAGGCCAUUUUUUAAGCAUUUUAAAAUCUAUUCUCUCCCCCUUUCUCCCUGGAUGAUUCAGGAAGCUGACAUUGUUUCCUCAAGGCAGAAUUUUCCUGGUUCUGUUUUCUCAGCCAGUUGCUGUGGAAGGAGAAUGCUUUCUUUGUGGCCUCAUCUGUGGUUUCGUGUCCCUCUGAAGGAAACUAGUUUCCACUGUGUAACAGGCAGACAUGUAACUAUUUAAAGCACAGUUCAGUCCUAAAAGGGUCUGGGAGAACCAGAUGAUGUACUAGGUGAAGCAUUGCAUUGUGGGAAUCACAAAGCAAAUAGUACUCCAGAAAGACAAAUAUCAGAAGCUUCCUAUUCUUUUUUUUUUUUUUUUUUUUUUUGAGACAGGGUCUUUCUCUGUUGCCCAGGCUAGAGUGCACUGGUGAUCACGGCUCACUCUAGCCUUGAAUUCCUGGGCCCAAGCAAUUCUCCCACCUCAGCCUCCUGAGUAGCUGGGACUACAAGUGUGCACCACCAUGCCUGGCUAAUUUUUUGAAUUUUUGUAGUGAUGGGAUCUCGCUCUGUUGCCCAGGGUGGUCUCGAACUCCUGGCCUCAAGCGAUCCUCCCACCUCGACCUCCCAAAGUGCUGGGAUUACAGGUGUGAGCCACCUCGCCUGGGCCCCCUUCUCCAUAUGCCUCCAAAAACAUGUCCCUGGAGAGUAGCCUGCUCCCACACUGUCACUGGAUGUCAUGGGGCCAAUAAAAUCUCCUGCA